rnacentral:RNase_P_RNA from 1 species
AAGCACGGCUAACUGCUGCAAUUUAUUGCAGAGGAAAAUCCGCUCUAUCACUUGCUGCGAUGCAAGUAGUGUUCAUACUAAACCUAAGAAGUUUAGGCACCAAAAGGUGACGACUAGUGCAACAGAGACGAGCUUAUUAAGUUAAGAUGCAACGAUGUAAACUCUAUGAGAUAGAAACCCAAAUUUUGGUAGGGGAACCUCAGUAAGGGAAUCAAACUAAGCUGGGGAUGUCUAAAAAGGCAUAGAUAAAUAGUUAGCGCUGUUUUUAACAGUACAGAAAGCGGUUUAUAGUG